CAGGAUUAGAUACCCUGGUAGUCCACGCCCUAAACGAUGUCGACUGGUUGUUGGGGGUUUGACACCUUCAGUAACGAAGCUAACGCGUGAAGUCGACCGCCUGGGGAGUACGGCCGCAAGGUUAAAACUCAAAGGAAUUGACGGGGACCCGCACAAGCGGUGGAUUAUGUGGAUUAAUUCGAUGCAACGCGAAAAACCCUACCUACCCUUGACAUGUCCUGGAGCCCGGAGAGAUCCGGGUGUGCCCGAAAGGGAACGGGAACACAGGUGCUGCAUGGCUGUCGUCAGCUCGUGUCGUGAGAUGUUGGGUUAAGUCCCGCAACGAGCGCAACCCUUGUCAUUAGUUGCUACAUUCAGUUGGGCACUCUAAUGAGACUGCCGGUGACAAACCGGAGGAAGGUGGGGAUGACGUCAAGUCCUCAUGGCCCUUAUGGGUAGGGCUUCACACGUAAUACAAUGGUCGGUACAGAGGGUUGCCAAAGCGCGAGCUGGAGCCAAUCCCAGAAAGCCGAUCGUAGUCCGGAUUGCAGUCUGCAACUCGACUGCAUGAAGUCGGAAUCGCUAGUAAUCGCGGAUCAGCAUGUCGCGGUGAAUACGUUCCCGGGUCUUGUACACACCGCCCGUCACACCAUGGGAGCGGGUUUCACCAGAAGCCGGUAGCCUAACCGCAAGGAUGGCGCCGACCACGGUGAGAUUCGUGACUGGGGUGAAGUCGUAACAAGGUAACCGUUA
rnacentral:rRNA from 1 species